rnacentral:rRNA from 1 species
CCUACGGGUGGCAGCAGUGGGGGAUAUUGCACAAUGGGGGGAACCCUGAUGCAGCGACGCCGCGUGGGUGAAGGAGCGUUUCGGCGCGUAAAGCUCUAUCGGCAGGGAAGAAGAUGACGGUACAUGACCAAGAAGCCCCGGAUAACUACGUGCCAGCAGCCGAGGUAAGACGUAGGGGGCAAGCGGUAUCCGGAUUUACUGGGGGUAAAGGGGGCGCGGACGGGAGUGCAAGACAGGAGUGAAAGCCCGGGGCUCAACCCCGGGACUGCACUUGGAACUGCAUGGCUGGAGUACAGGAGGGGCAGGCGGAAUUCCUAGUGUAGCGGUGAAAUGCGUAGAUAUUAGGAGGAACACCAGUGGCGAAGGCGGCCUGCUGGACUGUAACUGACGUUGAGGCCCGAAGGCGUGGGGAGCAAACAGGAUUAGAUACCCCUGUAGUC